ensembl:lncRNA
UGCUAGUGAACUCCCAACAAACCUCUCCAUUUGGUCCUACUCUAAGGACAGGGGUCCACAGGGACUGCUGCAGAGCUGCCCUAAUACUAGGACACUACUAUUAGUGUAUACUUUCAGUAUCAAAAGGGGAUCUCUAAGAAAGAAGGGGACAGACUCUACGAAAGAGUGUAAAAAGGGACACUCUACCUUGAGCUGGAGAGGUCUAUGAGCACUUGAUCUAGCUGUGGAUGUCCCUGUUCAUUGCAGGGGAGUUAAACUAGAUGACCUUUAAGGAUCCCUUCCAACUCAAACGAUUCUAUGAUUCUAGCUCCUGUCACUGCAUUAGAGAGGUUGCCGCAUGCUGCUUCCCGUGUCAGGAACAGCUGCUGCAGUCACCCGGGCAAUAUCCAAGUCCAAAUAGGACAAUGCUGUUUGCUCCUUAAAUGCUUCCGUUUCCUGAUGUAUCAGCAGGCAGAAGAAACCAUGUUUAGAACAAGCUCCUUGCUAUAAGUGUUUUUUUCAAAUAAUUUAUAAUCCUCUAGUCACAUGAGUACACUUAUGACGAUGGAGUGCAGAAGAAAAUGUACAAACAUUUUUCAUUACAUUGCAUUACAUUUUGAUGUUAAGAUCUUGAUCCUUUUGUGUGAAAAGUGAGAUUAAAAACAGAAGUAUUUAAUCCUUUCAUAAUGCAACUAGAUUAUCCCUCUUGCACUCAAAAAUGCUUAUCGUAGUUGGCUGUAGUUAUUUUCUAAGCAGAAUCAGAAAAACAGCAGCAAGAAGAAACCACAGUUAGGUGUUUCCGCUGAUUACCUUUGUUCUUCCUGCCCUCAGAUACUGCAGGUAGUGUCUCCUGCAGCUAACACAUGGCUCAGACAAGAGUGCUACACCAGCCAGCCAGUGCUAACCAUAGUCCAGUGGAGGUUUCAAGUCAGGUGCUUUUAUUUGAAGGUAGAAAUUAACAGUGCUCCUUCAGCUGACAGUUCCUUUCCCCCACUAUGUGUCUGGAAGCACAGUGCCAACAUCUGAAGUGGAAAUGGCAGAGACCAGACCUGACCCUCCUGAAUCUGCAGCUGUUGGCUGAUAGUCUUUCCAAGCAGCAACACGAGUGCUGUGCUUGGUUGCACUGGGUAACCCCACAAACUGCUGAAAAUUUCAGAUUUGCACCCAGGUCACUCAUGUCAGAGCAGUUUGCAACAGGGGUGUUGUGGCAGCACCAAGCAGCAGAUAUAAUAUCUGCAUCAGGACUAAAAUGAGACAGCCCUGAGAAAUGAAAUGGUAUGUCAGAUAACAGAGCAAAAUACUUUUCAGGACCAUUAGGGAACUUGGAAUAAUGUAUAUGCUUGGAAAUACUGUGGCUUAAUUUCAAAAAGUGAAAGAAGACCUAAGAAGGACCUGCAUAACUUCUGUUACCUUGGUGUCCAUGUGAUGGUUGGAUUGAUCAAGUUCCACUGCUCACAGUGUUGGUAUGCACGUAGAUGAGCAGAAUUCAUCUUGGUUUGAAGUGACUGUGUCCAAGGGUGCUGUUACCUGUGUAAAGGCGAUUUCUCAUUCAGCCUGUUGCAACUGCACAAGUGAAAUACGGAGAAAUGUGAAACAAAAACAACACAACUGCAAAACAAAAUAUUUUUAUUCCAGUGUAGAAAGAAUAUCAGCCCCAAGAACGGAGAAGCAAGCAUGUUACUGUUCCACACACCUGGAGCUUUUCAAAGUAAGAGAUGAAAAACUGUUUUCAGUUUGAGCUAGUAGGAAGAUAAAAGUUUGAAGCAGCGUUUUGGGUGAUUUUUCUGUGAUGAUGCAUUUCACAGAGAGGAGAGACUGAAAUCAAGGACCGUGUUGUAGUAAUUUAUUCCAGCCAUGCAGGAAAAGGAUGCACUGUGGGUAAACUGAAGCAAAUGCCUUUUUACAACAGAAGAAAGUUAGCUGAAGCCAAACCAUCAUUUUCACAGGCCUCUAGGAGCAAGGCAUAGCAGUGUGCAUCGCAGGGAGUUUUGCUGCAUGCACGGCACAGUGUUUGUUCAGUGCACAUCUGAACAGCGAUACAGCUAGAAAUUGGGCUCUCUAGAGCACGGCAUGUUGACAUACCAUGGGAAUGUGUAGCAUGAGAUUGAUUCCCUUUCAUCUAAAACUGGGGCCUCUGCUUCUGCACCGCCUAUGGUUUUCCCACUUGUAGUCACUGAUGAGGAACUCUUGGGACUUAAGUGCAGUGGAGAUAUUAAUAACAAUUUUUAUCUUAAUCUCUGCAUUUUUUCUGUUGCAACUUCCUAUAUCUAUUUACUCUUUUGACAAACUGCUACUGUUUUAGCAUUCUGUUAGUGCUAAAUGGCUGCAGGCCAUUCUAAACGUGGAUCUUCAUUCAUAACUAAUGCAAAAAACUGAAACAGACUUCAGGUUGCAGUCUGAGGUUCCUGACUGCCUUUGAAAUGAAACUUGGAUGAAUGGUGUCUGCAAAAAAACCCCACAUUUCUAAUCUAUGAAGUACUUUGUUGAUGUAGCCUCUGAAGGGUCCUAUAAGCUUUGAUAUCUUAAAAAUUGGUUUUGGUUUCAGGAAAAAGGCAGGCUGUAACUCAUUUACUAGCAGAGGAAGCAAGACAAAGCAAUGAGACAACCUAUUGCACGUAAUACAGGAUGUCUGCUGUAAAGCUAGAAGUGUCUUUAUGGUCUGCACCUUCAUUUAUCAAGCUGAAUGUUUAGCACCUCUGAAAAUUAGCCCCCACAACUUCUGAGGCAGAAGUCUGUAUUUUGGUGUAGGAUUAUCACCUUCCCAGUAAGUCUCAAGUUGUUAAAAAUGUUACUUUUCAUCCCUGAGACUGGGAGGGAGAUCAGUGUGAAUGGUGUUAGUUUGCCUUGAGAGUUGGGGUCAAGAAUCUGAGGCAAUGCCUAUAGGAGUUCUUGGAGCAUGAACAGAGACUUUUUGCAGCACAAAUACUGGUGUUAACUCAGACUCCAAACUUUGUCUUCUUUGCUAUGCUGACCUCUAGGAAAACUCUUCUGCAAAAUGGUUUGCCAAAGCAUUUGUAUAAGGAACUAGCAUGGCUUCAAAAUAGUCACUGCUCAUUUUGUUUAGGGUUUCACGUCUGACGCCAAAUCAGAAGUUGGCCUUCACACGAAGUUGCAGGCUGUUUGCUGCUCCCUCUGCUGGUCCCAACACGUUUGAGUGAGUCAAGGUCUUGGUACAUUUGGACAGGGCUCAGUCAGCAGAGAAAGCAUAUCCUGUGUUAAAAAGUGACACAGUACUUCUGAAUAUUUGAAUAGGACUCUGCAUUCCGAGUCUGGGUGAAAGGAGGACGGCACGCACUUUUCAACCAAACUACGACUGCUUCAGCAACAGAUAAAGUUGGUAUCAACCUGUUAAGUUCUAGCCUGAUAACUUGUAAACAAUAGCUUGCUUUCUCAAAGUAGUUUGGGCAGAAGUGACUGUGCACAUGCCUCCCAUUAGCAGAUAAUAAGUCUGUUUCCGAAGGGACUUUUCAUUGGCUGAAAAGCUAGAAAGCUCUGCUCAGUUUGUUGUUAGUUAGCAAUGGUGCCUGCAGAAAGGAAAUAAUAGACUGAAAGCUUUGAAGAGAUUGUUUUGAAAGAACUGCUUUAAAGCAAAGAGAAGAGAUUUUAGAGAGAUCAAUGCACGUAUUCUAUAGGAAAAUGAUUCCAUUAAUCCAUAAAAACCCUUGGGAUAUCUUGUUUCUUGUUCCCCUCGUAAUCAGACUGAGAAAAUGUGCUGUGGAUCAGGAGCAUUUUCCUCCUAGAUGCAAGAAGGUGAAAGUGAGUCAUUGGUUAAUGAUCAUUGUUAAGAGCAGAGAAAUGUUUCUCAAUUAACCUGCUUCAGGCUUCACUUCAGCUCACUCAGUCAGAAGAACUUCAUCCCAGUGUGGAAUGUUUGGUACUGAACACUUACAAAAGCCAAAACCCUAUCAGAAAUUAACUAGCUGAAGACAUACAAUGGAAAUACUUCUUGUUUUCCACCAAGUUCAUGCCUCUAUUACAGGCAACCACAUCACUCUUUCAUAAACAGUGAAAUCCCUUCCUUAAACUGAUCAAGGCUGCUGGGCUUUACUGUUUGGUUUCUUCUACUCGGACCCCCAAACACCGUUGUUUUCAUAAAUAAUAAAUGUACAGUUGCUGGCUGCACUAUGACUGUUUAUAACUGCCUGCACUAACUCUGUUCUUUAGUGCAACUAGUUCUUCUUUCUGGCAGUUGUUUUUUUUCCUUUUCUACUCUCAAACUAAUUUUACAAAGCUGUACAACUUCCUCCUUGUCUUUGUUAUGGUAGACUAACCAUGCUCUGCCAGUCUCUCCCAAAAAUAGGAACUUGGGACUACUGAUGAUCUUCAUAGCCUUUUCUGCACCUGUUGUAUGUUCAUCUUCCUCUGAAGUAGAAUGAUCAGAUACAAUGUUCUGACUGACUGAAAUAAGGAAUUAAUCUUUCUCAACUGUUUCUUGGUAUACAGGUUGCAUUUGCCAUUUUCUCUGGUAAAUUCAUUUGUGCCAUGAUCAGUAAAGGUCUUUAUCCUUCUGUCUUUUCCAACAGUGGAUAUUCCGAUUCGCAGAAGUGUUCCUUGGGUUGGGAAAAAAAAAAAAGAAAAAAAGAAAAAACAAACAAACAAAACCCUAACACUGAAAUGCUGAAUCUUGCUAGCUUUUCCAUGGUGCAUAGGGAACCCUGAGUCAUUGCACUUCAGUCACUAGACAAUCUUAGGACAAGGUACAAGUAAAACAGCAGACAAGAAAUAGUAGCGGUAUUAACAACUAUAAAAAAAAUAGCACAGUUGGACCUCUUACUACCUUUUUAAAAUAGUGAGAAGAAAUGUAUAUAUAUUUAUUCAGGGAGUAAAAAUUAUAUGUCUUUCUUCUAAGAUUCCACCCUAAACAAACAAAAACAAACAACCCACAAGCCCCAUAAGAUAAUAAACUAACCAAAUUCUUGGCAGGUAUUAGAGACACCACAAGAGACUCCAUAAAA